UACGUAGGGGGCGAGCGUUGUCCGGAGUUACUGGGCGUAAAGGGCAUGCAGGCGGUCGGACGCGUUUUUUUUUUGUGUGACAGCGGGUGGCUCAACUACGCGAGCAUACGAAAGACGGUUUGACUUGAGGGCUCGAGAGGGACACGGGAAUUCCGGGUGGAGUGGUGAAAUGCGUAGAGAUCCGGAGGAACACCGAUGGCGAAGGCAGCACUCUGGGACGUGACUGACGCUGAGACGCGAAAGCGUGGGGAGCAAACAGGG
rnacentral:rRNA from 1 species